CACGUAGGCGGACCGCUAAGUCGGAUGUGAAAGCCCUCGGCUUAACCGAGGAAGUGCAUUCGAAACUGACAGUCUUGAGUAUGGAAGAGGGUCGCGGAAUUCCCGGUGUAGAGGUGAAAUUCGUAGAUAUCGGGAGGAACACCAGUGGCGAAGGCGGCGACCUGGGCCAAUACUGACGCUGAGGUGCGAAAGCGUGGGGAGCAAACA
rnacentral:rRNA from 1 species